rnacentral:rRNA from 1 species
AUUGAACGCUGGCGGCAGGCUUAACACAUGCAAGUCGAACGAUGAGUCUCUAGCUUGCUAGAGAUGAUUAGUGGCGGACGGGUGAGUAACAUUUAGGAAUCUACCUAGUAGUGGGGGAUAGCUCGGGGAAACUCGAAUUAAUACCGCAUACGACCUACGGGUGAAAGGGGGCGCAAGCUCUUGCUAUUAGAUGAGCCUAAAUCAGAUUAGCUAGUUGGUGGGGUAAAGGCCCACCAAGGCGACGAUCUGUAACUGGUCUGGGAGGAUGAUCAGUCACACCGGAACUGAGACACGGUCCGGACUCCUACGGGAGGCAGCAGUGGGGAAUAUUGGACAAUGGGGGCAACUCUGAUCCAGCCAUGCCGCGUGUGUGAAGAAGGCCUUUUGGUUGUAAAGCACUUUAAGCAGGGAGGAGAGGCUAAUGGUUAAUACCCAUUAGAUUAGACGUUACCUGCAGAAUAAGCACCGGCUAACUCUGUG